rnacentral:rRNA from 1 species
CGGACGGGUGAGUAACGCGUGGGUAACCUGCCUCACACUGGGGGAGUAACAGUUAGAAAUAGCUGCUAAUACCGCAUAAGCGCACAGUUCCGCAUGGAACAGUGUGAAAAACUCCGGUGGUGUGAGAUGGACCCGCGUCUGAUUAGCCAGUUGGCGGGGUAACGGCCCACCAAAGCGACGAUCAGUAGCCGGCCUGAGAGGGUGAACGGUCACAUUGGGACUGAGACACGGCCCAA